rnacentral:piRNA from 1 species
GCUCAUUUGGUUUCUGAAAUGGAUGCUGGA